rnacentral:rRNA from 1 species
UGAGCAACCUGCCCUUGCUCUGGGAAUAACCCGGAAGGGCUAGAACANUC